rnacentral:rRNA from 1 species
GAUGAACGCUGGCGGCGUGCUUAACACAUGCAAGUCGAACGAUGAAGCCCAGCUUGCUGGGUGGAUUAGUGGCGAACGGGUGAGUAACACGUGAGUAACCUGCCCUUAACUCUGGGAUAAGCCUGGGAAACUGGGUCUAAUACCGGAUAGGAGCGUCCACCGCAUGGUGGGUGUUGGAAAGAUUUAUCGGUUUUGGAUGGACUCGCGGCCUAUCAGCUUGUUGGUGAGGUAAUGGCUCACCAAGGCGACGACGGGUAGCCGGCCUGAGAGGGUGACCGGCCACACUGGGACUGAGACACGGCCCAGACUCCUACGGGAGGCAGCAGUGGGGAAUAGUGCACAAUGGGAGCAAGCCUGAUGCAGCGACGCCGCGUGAGGGAUGACGGCCUUCGGGUUGUAAACCUCUUUCAGUAGGGAAGAAGCGAAAGUGACGGUACCUGCAGAAGAAGCACCGGCUAACUACGUG